rnacentral:tRNA from 1 species
GGGGCUGUAGUUCAGUGGCAGAAUGCUUGCCUAGCAUGUGUGGGGCACUGGGUUCAAUCCUCAGCACCCCA